UACGUAGGGGGCAAGCGUUGUCCGGAUUUAUUGGGCGUAAAGAGCGUGUAGGCGGCCAUGCAGGUCCGUUGUGAAAACUGGAGGCUUAACCUCCAGACGUCGAUGGAAACCGUAUGGCUAGAGUCCGGAAGAGGAGAGUGGAAUUCCUGGUGUAGCGGUGAAAUGCGCAGAUAUCAGGAGGAACACCGGUGGCGAAGGCGGUUCUCUGGGCCUUACCUGACGCUGAGGAGCGAAAGCGUGGGGAGCAAACAGG
rnacentral:rRNA from 1 species